UACUUUCAUUUAAGUUUUCUCGUGUGCUGCUCAAUUGCUUAUAGAUUUGUUUUUAUGCGAACAAACAUUGUUUCAAUUGUGCUUUUCAUCACUCACAUGGUUCACUGAAACAUAUAAUAGUCUCUAGAAUUGCUUAUGUAAUGGAUGCUUGUAGGUUGCAAUUUAGUGUUUGUGAUCAUAUAUAAUUUCACUUGGGUUUUGGUUAUUUGUAGUGCCAUUUGAUAAAAGGUGUGGUAGAGAUAUUUGGUAAGGAGAAAUUUGAAUGGUUUAGUCGUAAGUAUAGCCCUUGGCAAAGUUUGUCUAAAUGAAUGAUCGAUCACCUAGGCACCCAGUCAUUAAAAAUUGAAAACUAAAAUGAAUAUCCAAAAGUAUAUACUAUCUCCGUAAAAUGUUAUGUGCAAGUUUUGUCAUUAUAGGCCGUUUCACAUUAUGUGCAAGUUUUCCAUUUCUUUCCAUUUUAGUAAAAAAAAAGAAUAAAAUGACAUUUAUACCCUUACUUUAGAAAAUCAGUUUUUUGUAAUUAGCCAAUAAAACAGAGGGAGUAUAUAGUUUGCAAUAAGUUUGACUUUUUGGGUUAUAAGUACAUAGUUUGACUACUUCAAAGUUCAAAGUCAAGUACGCUAAGUCGCUAACGUACUCUAUUACAAUUUACAACAUUGUAUUCCAUUUUUUCUCUCUAUUGGUUUUCGUUGAUAUUGAUUAUUAAAUUGAAGUUUGGAGGACCAUUUUAAUUUGGGUUUUGCUUAGUUUAAAUACUCCGUAUGAUUUUUGCUUCUAUAUCAAGAACUUUCCUUUUUUAUUUUUUUGGGUUGUAUGUAGCUCAAGAUGCUGCUCAGAAUUUGAGUUUAAGUAAGCUAGCUAGUCCGAUUGAAGUGCUGCAAAGAAAUUUAGUUUGAGUAACAACCAGAUCCUGAUCAAAAUCCACUGGAAGUUUUGGCAAAGACAUAUUGCUGAGAAUGGUGUACAGUGGCAAUGAACACAGAGGUAGAUGGUGCGAUUGUCGAAGAGCCGCUGAUGAAGAUGAACAAAGGUUAAGGCAUAGUUGUCGAAUUGGUCAGGGCACUGUUGUCGAUCCUCCAUUGAAGCACCUUCUGAGGUAUGAUUCUUUUUUUUUUUUUUAAUCAUCGAACAUCUAAUUCUCACUCUAAGGUUUAUUGCUCAUUCGCUCAUGCUACUGGUAGCACUGAUAUGAAUAGCCAAUCAAGGUAUCCUCUACUCUUGAAACCCCAAUUUUUUUUUUUUUGUGUAAAACAGUGAUCUAAAGAAUUAUUUACAACGGUAGUUUUCUAUUAAAUUACUAGGAUUAUUUUGGGUUGUUGUUUUAGAGUUGCGAUUAACUUUUCAAUUGUGCAACUCUCAGUUUAUGAUGAGUUUGUAAGAAUACUUGCACUCAAUAUUGAAAUUAUAUUCAUUACCUUUGAUAUUCUUAGCUUUUAUAUUGCCCAUUUAUUCAUAUAUUAUUAUUAUUAUUAUUAUUAUUAUUAUUAUUAUUAUUAUUAUUAUUAUUAUUAUUUGAUAUAGCUAAGAAUUUUGCAAAAAUUAUUUGAAAAUAUGAGUGUGUGACUUUAAUCACCCAUCACCAAUGGGGCAACAAUGAUUAUCAAAUUCGGAUGUAUCCCCAAGAUUUAUCAUUGUUUUUACUCUAAAGAUGCUUGCAAACUUUCAGGGGUUAUAUGAUUUCUUAAUAAAAUAAAAAUAAUAUAUGAUUGUGUCAAUAAAUUUGAUGUUCUGGACAAUAUUGCUUCUCUGCAAUUUCUCUUUUUUUGUAUUAGCCUCAUAAAAUUUGGGCCUUUUCUUUGGGGGGGAAAGUAUUGAUUUUUAUUGUAUGCUGAAUUGGUAUAGUCAAUGGCGAUGAGGUUUUUUUUAUAUAUAUUGGCUUUCUAUUUAUGGACAAAAAUAUUCUUUUGUCUUCCAAGAAAAGGGCAGAGGUGAAUUCCUAGGAUUAAAAAAAAACUGUUUUGAUUGUGGUAUAUGUAAGAUGAUGAAUUAAAUACAUGCAUUCUAUAGCUAUCAGCUAUGAGCUUUCGGAUUAGUCACAUGGACGGCCGCACCAUCAUUCAAAAUCUUCAUUCAAUCUUUGUAGCUACCUGCACUCAGCAAUAUCUAUGUGUGUGUGUGUUUUUUUUCUUUUUUUUGGGGUGAGAUUUGCAUGCUUUCUCAUGCCAUUUCCAUUCACUAUGGCAUUUAUCCAAGGGUGAGAGUGCAAGUGUUGGGCGGAAUUGGGGAUAAGAGGAAAGUGAAUAAGACUAUAUUUAUAGAAGGCAGUCUGUUCUUUAUUCUGCGUGUUUAUGUUUAUUGUGUUGCCUAUUUUUUCAUAAUACUAGGAUUCACUUGGGGGAGAUAGCAAAACUGUUAUGAUUGGUAUGUUGGUUUCCUUAGUCCUUACUGCAAUUUCAUCCAUUAAACCACUUAUCAUAUGCCAUCUUCAUUCUAGCUUUUGUGUUAGCCCUGCUGACACAAAUGUUAAAGAGACUCUAAAUACCCUGAAGUAUGUAAACAGUGCAUGUGACAUUCAAAACAAGGCUCUUAUAAGGUCUUGUUCUAUUAUUGCCCUUAAUUAUUUUGAAUAUAUUGGGCUUUCUUUUCAUCAGCUUCUGUUUUACAGAUAAAUUGUAAUCCCUUUGCAGCUCAGAUGCAAAAAAUGCAUAGUCAAAUUGAGCAGCUUCAGACAGCUUCUUAAUUAUCGUGGUGACUCGGGUAUAUCUUUUAAUCAGCUAAGAUUUUGAAGCAUAAGAUAUCAUUGCUUAAAGCAAUCUGAGCUGCAACGUGAACUUCAAGUCGAAAUAGACAAACUUUUUAUGAUGCUUGAAGCAGGUAGGCGUGGAAAUCGUGGGUGAAAUUAGGCAUGGUCAUGGUGCAGAUGGUGGGAGGAUGCUGUUGAAUAUGACUGGUUCAAUUGAAAUGAUAGGAUUCUUCUACACGAUGGUGGCACAACAGGUAUUAUAGGAGGAGGAUCAGGUGGUACCAUGUAUAUAUAAAGGCUUAUAAAAUGGACCGAUUUAUGAAGCAAUGGUGUAUGUCUGUCCUGAAUUUCCUCACCCGUGGCUUACUUUCAAGUGCUUGUUUCGGAGACCAAAAAAUUUGGAGCCAUUUUUCUCUCUGAGGUUGCAUGAAUUUGUCAUUGCCAUGAGAUCAGCCCCCUCAAGAAAGAGGUUAUGAAGUCUUGCCAGUAAUUGAAGCAUAUAUGAAUCCAAAGUGUCAUUUAGCAGCUCCGAUUCUGUGUAUAGGCCUUUGAUGGUUUGAUCAUAUUCAGGACGACUAUUUUCAAGCCAACUAUGCUUCAUCUCCGCUUGUGAUGUCAAAUGGGUUUAUCCUUGUAGGUGAUGGAUGAUGCGGGCCAUGAUAAAGGAAGCAUUUUAAAUAUUAGAAGCUGUUGAUAGAACAAUAAUGCAGUUAACUAAGCUCCUUUGGCAAGCUGAAUUAACAGGAAAGUUUGAAUAUUACCUCUGUGUGACGGGCCACCAUUCUACACCAGUAGAAUAAGAGGACCACAGCUUUGAACCUCUUCCUUUUGCACUAUGUCAGAUUACAGACUUCGUGGGUGCAAUAGGCGACGAAUCAAUCCUGAUGGAAACUUCCCUCGAACCUUUUCCUCUUCCAACUGUGAAAGCUGGGGAAGAUCUAGCGGAAGAGUGCAUAUGUGAUGAUGAAAAAAGAGCCUCAGCAAAGGCUUUCUGUGGUGAUUCAGUUUCUGAAUUGAGCGAGAUUGCAGCUGCAAGGGGUUGUCUGUUAUGGAUUACCCUCACUCACACUAGCUCAAUGUAAACAGUGGACAAUAAGAGAGAAGGACUGCUUCUUUGAUUAAUACAACAAAAGGGUUACAAAAGAUAGUAGCUUGAGGCUACAAGUCUCCAAGGAAACUUGGUUGCUACUCUCUAUUUAUUCACUCAAUUCCUGGAUAAUCCUCUCAAAAACUCUCUUCCUAAUAUAUUACAAGUUGACUGCCAGUAAUUACAAAAGUGGCUGUCCAAAAGCAUACAACUCUUGUUUCCUAGUAUAAAGUAUGAAAAGACUACAUUCCCCAAGGUUUCUUCUCUUCUCCCUAAAUUUCCCAAUUAGCUUCUUCCUCCUUCUUCUUCUCCUUCUUCUUCUCCUUCUUCUUCUCCUUCUUCUCCUUCUUCUUCUUCUUCUCCUUCUU